rnacentral:rRNA from 1 species
CCUACGGGGUGCAGCAGUGGGGGAUAUUGGACAAUGGGGGGAACCCUGAUCCAGCGACGCCGCGUGAGUGAAGAAGUAUUUCGGUAUGUAAAGCUCUGUCAGCAGGGAAGAAAGAAAUGACGGUACCUGACCAAGAAGCCCCGGCUAACUACGUGCCAGCAGCCGCGGUAAUACGUAGGGGGCAAGCGUUAUCCGGAAUUACUGGGUGUAAAGGGAGCGUAGACGGUUAAGUAAGUCUGGAGUGAAAGGCCGGGGCCCAACCCCGGGACUGCUCUGGAAACUAUUGAACUUGAGUGCAGGGGAGGUAAGCGGAAUUCCUAGUGUAGCGGUGAAAUGCGUAGAUAUUAGGAGGAACACCAGUGGCGAACGCGGCUUACUGGACUGUAACUGACGUUGAGGCUCGAAAGCGUGGGGAGCAAACAGGAUUAGAUACCCCAGUAGUC